UUAAACCAAAAAAGUUGCUAAAAUUAAAAAACCAGAGGAGAGGAAAAGGGAAACGGAUAACAGGACAUCAAAUUUAUUCUCUUUUUAUUUCCUUGCCUCAACAAAUCCAUUGCUAAUUUAUUCUAAGACAGGAGAAAAUUUGGUACUUGCGGAUGCACGCCCUGCGCUGCUAAAGUACUGUUAUAUUCACAUUAGUAAUUUGUUGAGCCGUCUGAACUAGCUUACCUUUUCUCGAAAAUUGUGGUGCGAGGGUGUCUUAUUAUUUAUUUUAGGGAGUAAAUUUAAACUUUUUGAAUCGUGAGCUCUAGGGAGUCUCUGAAACGUCAACAAUCGACGUGACCCUAAUAGGUUAAUAAAAUGUAUGGUUGGUUAAAACUUACAGUGAGUGAAAGGCUGUAUGCUAUUAUAAAUCAAAGAAAGAUACGGAUGUGAAGGAAUAUCAUCGAUACCAUACUCUUCUGUUAUAGUUGGAAGCCACAAAACCAAUCGACCACCAUCAACAAGACGAUCUGAGGCAAAACAUAUAAUGUCGUAAACCAUAUCACUAAUUUGAUAUUGCUCCAACUUUGGAUAGUGAUUACCGGUUGAACUGGACUCUUUGGGUGGUCUUUGAGAGCAUUUGGCGAUCUUUUUAGCACCAGCACGGACGCCAUAAGGAGCUAUCAAAUGUUAAUGGAAAUGUUAAAAAAGAAAGACUUACGGUCGCAGACAAUCGCAUCUAGUAAUAAAUUUUUCCUCAGUGGGCAAUUAGUGACAUCUCCAGUGAAAGUAUCUAAAAAGAAUGGGGACAAUUUGUAUUGCCGAAAAUUGGAUUUAAUAGAUCUUCCAUUUUUUCCGCGCAUCUGCCUACCAUCUAUAUCAGAACCUGCAAAACAAUGUUAGUUUGGCAUAACUGGAGAGCAACCUACCAAGUGUAUGAGCUCCAAAAAAACUACAUGUAUAUAAAAAACUUCCAGUUCCUACAAAUGGAUCAUAUAUAAGUUUCCCAGGAGCUGCCAUAGCCAUUUGAGCCGUUACAAGAGAAAGCUCUGCGUCAAAACUAGUAAUUCCAAUGUAGCUUCUUUGUUUCAAAUCAAAUGUAUCAAUUGCAUCACGAGAACCACUGCCGCACCAAUGACCAAAGUAAACUUUAGGCCCUUCUACGUUGUUCCUACGAUUUUCUAAAACCGUGAAUACGUGUUGCGGGUUGUGCAUAGAUACUGGUCCUUG